GGCGGCGUGCCUAACACAUGCAAGUCAACUUGACGGAGAGCAAUCUGACCGUAGAGUGGCGCAAGGGUGCGUAACGCGUAAGUAACUUGCCCAAGGUAAGGAAUAACGUCGAGAAAUCGGCGCUAAUACCUCAUAAUGCAGCGGAUCCGCAUGGAUAUGUUGUUAAAGGUUUACCGCCUUGGGAUAGGCUUGCGUCUGAUUAGCUAGUUGGUGUGGUAACGGCACACCAAGGCUACGAUCAGUAACUGGUCUGAGAGGAUGAUCAGUCACACUGGAACUGAGACACGGUCCAGACUCCUACGGGAGGCAGCAGUGAGGAAUAUUGGGCAAUGCUCGAAAGAGUGACCCAGCAACGCCGCGUGGAGGAUGAAGGUAUUCUAUAUCGUAAACUCCUGUGAGAGCAGACGAAAGACAGAUUAUUAAUCUGGAUGACUGUAUGCUCAGAGGAAGCCCCGGCUAACUACGUG
rnacentral:rRNA from 1 species